AGCUGAGCCUGCAGCUGGUUGAUGAAAUCCAUUAAGUGGCAAAUGGAAAAAAGAAAAAAUUGAGGAAAAGAGAAAUAAAGAAAAAAGAAGACUGCAUGGAAUCCAAGGAGGCUAUUAAGAGGAAACAAACAGGACAUGAAACAAUGACAGAGAAAAUACCAAGGGUUUAUAAGAGAACAAUGAGGGAACUAUUAAUUGGGACAUGCCUACCUGCCUGUCUCUUUCCAGGUGAAAAGGCUAUUUUUCCAAGGCCUGAGCCUAAAAUCAAAUGAAUACUGAGCUGUUAGUAACUCCUGCCUGGAGAGUAAGAGGA